rnacentral:rRNA from 1 species
GACGAACGCUGGCGGCGUGCUUAACACAUGCAAGUCGAGCGAGAAAGCGGCUUCGGCCGUGAGUACAGCGGCGAACGGGUGAGUAACACGUGGGCAACCUGCCCCAGAGAUUGGGAUAACGUUCCGAAAGGGACGCUAAUACCGAAUGAUGCGUGACCUGCCAAGUGGGUCACGCCAAAUGGUAGCCUCGGCUUCUGCUCUGGGAUGGGCCCGCGCCGGAUUAGCUUGUUGGUGGGGUAACGGCCUACCAAGGCGACGAUCCGUAGCUGGUCUGAGAGGACGAUCAGCCACACUGGGACUGAGACACGGCCCAGACUCCUACGGGAGGCAGCAGUGGGGAAUCUUGCGCAAUGGGCGAAAGCCUGAUGCAGCAACGCCGCGUGAGCGAAGACGGCCUUCGGGUUGUAAAGCUCUGUCAGGAGGGACGAAGCCACUCGGGUGAAUAGCCCAGAGGGUGACGGUACCUCCAGAGGAAGCCCCGGCUAACUACGUGCCAGCCGCCGCCGUAAUAC